UCCAGCUAUUCCAAUUAACGAUGAUGUUUGUGGCAGUGGACAUGCAUAUAAAUUAAAUGACCUACCAAUCAGGGCAAAGUAUUACUGAAUUUUGAUCUUGCAAGCGCUAGUUACCCCACGACCCUUCAUGCAUUUGGAACCUUUGGCUGAAACCUUACGAUACUCAAUGGCAUUUUCGUAAUUCCAUCUUUAAAUUUAUCAGAAACAACACCCCUGCCAGAUAGAAGCCACUUCUCAAUUAGUCCACAGAGGAAUGUUUCUUUGGGAUUUGUAAUAAAUCUAAAUAUUAAACCUUCAAAAAUUAAAGAAAAAAACAAAAAUGAAGACAUGAAAGAUCAGAAGCUGAUUAUCUGAGUCGUUUAUGCAAAUAGCCAUAGCUAAAAGAAAUGAAAUGCAUACAAACUGAAAAUGAUCCAAAAACAGUUCUUAAUUUUUGCCCAUUACUUCACAGCCUGUAAUGCGAGAGAGGCCUUGAAAAUCCACAAGAAGCCGACAGUUGCAGAUAAUUCCAAGCAACCCAUGUGGGAUUCUUUCCCUUUUUAGCCCAACUUUGUGUCACUUCUUUUGCCUCCUGUUCUCCUACUCAUUUUCUCUGCUCCAACUCCAAUUUUCAGGCACUUUUUCUGAUAAAAUUCUGCCCAAGUUUUGUUGGAUUGUAGUUUACCAUCAUGUGGGAAUCGGCGAGUGAAUCUGUUGGUGGGCGAGAUUACGGUAAUGGAAUUAUUAGCUCAACCAACCAGGGUCUCAAGACUGAUGGGUUUGAGCUCAGGGGCCAGUCAUGGUGUGUUCGCUAAAUGAAAUUCUAAUGGUUUUUUAUUUUUGUGUAUCAUUAUGGAUUAUUUCUUGAAAUAUUUUGGUAUAAAGAGAAGUACAAGUACUGGUUUUUCUUUCUGCUAAUAGUUUAGCUUCUAAUCAUUCUUUUUCAGGUAUGUGGCAAGUGAUAUUCCUAGUGAUCUUUCAGUUCAGAUUGGAGAUGUAAAUUUCCACUUGCAUAAGUAUCCGCUGCUUUCUCGGAGUGGAAAGAUCAAUAGACUAAUAUAUGAAUCACGCGACCCAGGACUGAAUAAGAUGGUUUUAGAUGAUCUUCCUGGUGGACCUGAGGCAUUUGUGGUUGCAGCAAAGUUCUGCUAUGGAAUUGCUGUUGAUCUAACAGCAGGCAAUAUCUCUGGCCUUAGAUGUGCUGCAGAGUACCUGGAAAUGACAGAGGAUUUAGAAGAAGGUAAUCUUAUAUUCAAAACUGAAGCUUUUCUUAGUUAUGUGGUGUUAUCAUCAUGGAGGGAUUCUAUAUUAGUACUGAAAAGCUGUGGGAAGCUCACACCAUGGGCAGAGAACCUUCAGAUUGUUCGAAGAUGCAGCGAGUCAAUUGCCUGGAAGGCUUGUGCCAAUCCGAAAGGGAUAAAGUGGGCAUACACUGGAAACCCUCCUAAAGUUUCUAGUAAAAAAUGGAAUGAUAUGAAGGAUUCAAGUCCAAGUAGAAAUCAGUUGGUUCCUCCUGAUUGGUGGUUUGAGGAUGUUUCGAUCCUUAGGAUUGAUCACUUUGUUAGGGUCAUUACUGCAAUCAAGGUAAAGGGAAUGAGGUUUGAAUUGAUUGGAGCUUCAAUAAUGCAUUAUGCAGCCAAAUGGCUUCCUGGUUUGAUUAAAGACGGGGCAGGGUCUGUUGAUGAAGGAAGCAAUAGCAGCAAUAGUAGUGGCAGCAGUUGGAAAGGUGGACUCCAUAUGAUUGUGGCAGCAACGAAAGAGGACCCUUCAUCAGUUCAGGCGAAAGAUCAGCGCAUGAUCAUUGAGAGCCUCAUCAGCAUAAUUCCACCACAGAAGGAUAGCGUCUCCUGCAGCUUCCUCCUGCGCCUUCUGAGAAUGGCAAACAUGUUAAAAGUGGCACCUGCAUUAGUUACAGAAUUAGAGAAACGAGUGGGGAUGCAGUUUGAACAGGCAACAUUGGCUGACCUCCUAAUUCCUUCUUACAAUAAGAGCGAGACCUUGUAUGACGUGGACCUCACUCAGAGGCUUCUGGAGCAUUUUCUGAUUCAAGAACAGACAGAAAGUUCAAGUCCAAGUAGACAACCAUUUUCUGACCAAAGGGGUACUAAUACACAUGCCAAAAUGAGAGUGGCAAGGCUUGUUGACAGCUAUCUCACAGAGGUUUCCAGAGACAGAAACCUCUCACUAACAAAGUUUCAGGUACUAGCAGAAGCUUUGCCUGAAUCUGCAAGAACCUGUGAUGACGGGCUUUAUCGAGCAAUUGAUUCUUAUCUUAAGGCCCAUCCAACACUGUCUGAGCAUGAAAGGAAGCGCCUGUGCCGUGUGAUGGACUGCCAAAAACUCUCAAUUGAUGCCUGCAUGCAUGCUGCACAAAAUGAGAGACUUCCACUUAGGGUAGUGGUGCAAGUACUCUUUUCUGAACAAGUAAAAAUAAGUAAUGCAAUAGCAAAUAGCUCCCUGAAAGAUGCUAGUGAAACACAGUACCAGCCCAUGAUACCAAACCGAAAAACACUACUUGAAGGCACACCACAAUCAUUUCAAGAAGGAUGGACAGCUGCUAAGAAGGACAUUAACACAGUCAAGUUUGAGCUCGAGAGUGUGAAGACUAAGUACCUUGAGCUACAAAAUGACAUGGAGAAUCUGCAGAGACAGUUUGAUAAGAUGACAAAUAAGAAACAGACAUCAGCGUGGACUAGUGGAUGGAAAAAGCUGAGCAAAUUCACCAAGAUGACAACUAUAGAAAACCAUCAUAUUGAAUCCCAGGUUCCAGAAGCUACCAUAGAACAGACUAGAAAGACCCCAAGAAGGUGGAGAAAUUCCAUUUCCUGAAAGACAACAAAAGAAAAUCCAUAAGGAAGAGUUGGCAACAAAGGAAUACCUUUACAUUUCCACUGUUAUUCUCUUUUCUUCUUCUUGGUAUCUUUGGCAGUCAGGGUUAUAUUUCUCAUAU
rnacentral:misc_RNA from 1 species